GGCUUGGAAGUGGAUGGCUCACACCUGCCACAUUCUGUAGGAGUAAGGAUUAAGGGCAGAAUCUAAGCAGGAGGUGCUUGUUCGAAUCAGGCCUGAGCCA